rnacentral:rRNA from 1 species
AACGAACGCUGGCGGCAGGCUUAACACAUGCAAGUCGAGCGCCCCGCAAGGGGAGCGGCAGACGGGUGAGUAACGCGUGGGAAUCUACCCAUCUCUACGGAAUAACGCAUGGAAACGUGUGCUAAUACCGUAUACGUCCUUCGGGAGAAAGAUUUAUCGGAGAUGGAUGAGCCCGCGUUGGAUUAGCUAGUUGGUGGGGUAAAGGCCUACUAAGGCGACGAUCCAUAGCUGGUCUGAGAGGAUGAUCAGCCACACUGGGGCUGAGACACGGCCCAGACUCCUACGGGAGGCAGCAGUGGGGAAUAUUGGACAAUGGGCGCAAGCCUGAUCCAGCCAUGCCGCGUGAGUGAUGAAGGCCCUAGGGUUGUAAAGCUCUUUCACCGGUGAAGAUAAUGACGGUAACCGGAGAAGAAGCCCCGGCUAACUUCGUGCCAGCCGCCGCGGUAACAC